AGAGUUUGAUCAUGGCUCAGAUUGAACGCUGGCGGCAGGCCUAACACAUGCAAGUCGAACGGUAACAGGAUAGCUUGCUAUCGCUGACGAGUGGCGGACGGGUGAGUAAUACUUAGGGAUCUGCCUCUGUGUGGGGGAUAACUAUUGGAAACGAUAGCUAAUACCGCAUAAUGUCUACGGACCAAAGCGGGCUUCGGCUCGUGCGCAGAGAGGAACCUAAGCGAGAUUAGCUAGUUGGUGAGGUAAAGGCUCACCAAGGCGACGAUCUCUAGCUGUUCUGAGAGGAAGAUCAGCCACACUGGAACUGAGACACGGUCCAGACUCCUACGGGAGGCAGCAGUGGGGAAUAUUGCACAAUGGGGGAAACCCUGAUGCAGCCAUGCCGCGUGUGUGAAGAAGGCCUUCGGGUUGUAAAGCACUUUCAGUUGUGAGGAAAGUUUAGUAGUUAAUACCUGCUAGAUGUGACGUUAGCAACAGAAGAAGCACCGGCUAACUCCGUGCCAGCAGCCGCGGUAAUACGGAGGGUGCGAGCGUUAAUCGGAAUUACUGGGCGUAAAGCGCACGCAGGCGGUCUGUUAAGCUAGAUGUGAAAGCCCCGCGCUCAACGUGGGAGGGUCAUUUAGAACUGGCAGACUAGAGUCUUGGAGAGGGGAGUGGAAUUCCAGGUGUAGCGGUGAAAUGCGUAGAGAUCUGGAGGAACAUCAAUGGCGAAGGCAACUCCCUGGCCAAAGACUGACGCUCAUGUGCGAAAGUGUGGGUAGCGAACAGGAUUAGAUACCCUGGUAGUCCACACCGUAAACGCUGUCUACUAGCUGUUUGUGAAUUUAAUUCGUGAGUAGCGAAGCUAACGCGAUAAGUAGACCGCCUGGGGAGUACGGCCGCAAGGUUAAAACUCAAAUGAAUUGACGGGGGCCCGCACAAGCGGUGGAGCAUGUGGUUUAAUUCGAUGCAAC
rnacentral:rRNA from 1 species